GUUCGCGUGUGCUGUGUGUCUGCUCGCUCUGAGGCGCUAGUCAUAUUUGAGAAUGAUUAUAUUCAGUGGCUUCUCCUAGUUUCUCAGGGAUGUUUAGUGCCAGUUUACCAGGAAAUGACUAUUUUGUUCUCUUUGACUCGUUGGAUGGAAAUUUAUGCGAUAUUCCAGUUUUGCGCACGAGUUUAAUUCGAAUCUUUGGAUGGAAACAUAGUGUGUAUAGGUUUCCUUGGAAUUUACAGCCUUAUGUCGAACUACACUAAAAUUCCCUUAUGAGGCUCUAUAUUCUUCCAGAUUCCCGCUCAUCAGCUGCUGUAGUUUCUAAUAUGCAUGUGUUUCAGAUGAUUAUUCAGAUGUGGGCACGGAGAGCGCAUGCGCGUCUCAAACAGGAGCACAUGCGGCAUAUUCAGCGCUUAGAACUGAAGAGAGGAGCAACUGCAGGAGGUUUUGCGUGCACACAGAGCUGGAGUGGUUUGGUCAGGAUGGGCUGCUCAUCGUCCAGCACACAGACGCUCGCGCAGGAGAACCCACCGCGCGUCAAAGCGGAGGAGGCGAGCGGAGAAACUCUGCUCUCUCGUAAUGGGCUUGUAGCAGAAGACAGCGAGACCGUCUCGGAUCAGAUGCAGCUGCCAGUUCAAAGCACUCUGCCGGAUGAGCUGGGUCCCGGACCGGACGAGACGGUGGAGGCCUCAGAAGCAGAGCAGACAACGGUCAGCGCUAAUGAUGCUCCUCUAGAGGAGAGAGAUGCAGAUGAUGGUCCCGCUGCUUCAGAACCCACUGACUCCACGCCUGCAGAACCCUCUCUAGCUGUGGAACCUGCAUCAGAUCUCACCAGCACUCCAGAACCCAAGCCAGCUGAGCUAACAGAAGCUCCAGAGGCCCCAUCAGACACGAGCUCGGAGCCCACACUGGAGCAAGCAGACACAGCUCCUGAAGCGAAGCCAACCGCAGCUCAAGAACCAGGUCCAGUGGAGCAAAGCCCUGCUCCAGAACUCACUGUGUCUGAGCCUGUCCCGAGUGCAGAACCAGCUGCUGCUGAGGAACAAACUGUGUCUCCAGAACCAGCUGCAGUGGAACCAAGCCCAGCUCUAGAAUCAGCUCUGGCUCCAGAACCCUUGGCGGAGGAACCAAGUUCAGCUCCAGAACCCUCGGCUGAGGAACCAAGCCCAGCUCCAGAAUCAGCUCUGGCUCCAAAACCCUCGGCUGAGGAACCCAGUUUAGCUCCAGAACCAGCUGCUGUGGAACCAAGCCCAGCUCCAGAAUCAGCUCCGGCUCCAGAACCCUCGGCUGAGGAACCGACUGUGUCUCCAGAACCAGCUGCAGUGGAACCGAGCCCAGCUCCAGAAUCAGCUCCGGCUCCAGAACCCUCGGCUGAGGAACCAAGCCCAGCUCCAGAAUCAGCUCUGGCUCCAAAACCCUCGGCUGAGGAACCCAGUUUAGCUCCAGAACCAGCUGCUGUGGAACCAAGCCCAGCUCCAGAAUCAGCUCCGGCUCCAGAACCCUCGGCUGAGGAACCAAGUUCAGCUCCAGAACCAGAUGCUGAGGAACCGAGUUCAGCUUCAGAGCCAGCUGCAGUGGAACCGAGCCCAGCUCCAGAAUCCGCUCUGGCUCCAGAACCCUCGGCUGAGGAACCGAGUUCAGCUCCAGAACCCUUGACUGAGGAGCCGAGUUCAGCUCCAGAACCCUCGGCUGAGGAACCGACUGUGUCUCCAGAACCAGCUGCAGUGGAACCGAGCCCAGCUCCAGAAUCCGCUCUGGCUCCAGAACCCUCGGCUGAGGAACCGAGUUCAGCUCCAGAACCCUUGACUGAGGAGCCGAGUUCAGCUCCAGAACCCUCGGCUGAGGAACCGACUGUGUCUCCAGAACCAGCUGCAGUGGAACCGAGCCCAGCUCCAGAAUCAGCUCCGGCUCCAGAGCCCACGGUUGAGGAACCAAGCCCAGCUCCAGAACCCUCGGCAGAGGCAGCAGCGAUCACACAGUCUGCAGAGGAGAACGCGACCUGCGCAGACGCUCCAGAGGUCGGUGAAGAUGGAGCUGAUCUGCUGAAAUCCACAGAACCUGAAGAUUGAUGUCAGUGUGACGCUGUGAGACGUGCCUUUUAUCUCAGAGACGUGAGGGUUUGUACAUAAAUUAGUGUUUCUAAGUAGCGUUAGAAUCAUUAGCAUUGUUGUUAAAAGCCACAGAAAUGCCUCUGAGAGCGCGGGUCCCGUGGGUGUCCGGCCGAGCGUGGGACGAAAUCACAGCAUCGUGUCCUCAUCUCCAACUGAGUCAAACACAACAGCAAUAUUAACUCACCUGAACAAACCAAAGCUCUAAUAACUGUGAAUCAACCAAAUUAUGCUGCUUAAUGUGUCUUUUAAUGAGACAGAAGGGCUUCGUCUCUUAUGUAUUUAGUGCAUGUUGCUCCUCAGACUGCAGAUGCAAAGCAGUUUGACUCUUUACUUGCAUUAAUCAAUGACAGACAGGCAAACGGUAGUAUAUUAAUCAGCAGUGUAUGUUGUUGGGUUAUUUUAGUACAGUUUGUAGUGAUUCCAGAGCACUAAUAAACCUCAUCUGAUGAUCUGUGACACUGGAAGGAAAGCAGUUACUCAGCGAAUCAUAUCAGUGUGAAGACAUGAAAGUUGAGCUCUUUGUUAAAAAAAACACAAAAAAAACAAGCUUUUAAUGAACUGACAUGAUCUCUGCACAUCUCCUGUAUGUCUUUUUUACAUUUAUAUGUGCACAGAAUAAAUACGGUUACCGUUACUAAUAAAAUCAUUUUGUAGUGAUUUCUCUUUUAUAAUCAGCGUGUGGUUGUCUGGGGUCUUAAAUACUGGAGAACAUUGCAGCUGAUCUCACCAGUGAGAACCACACAGAACAUAGUCGACUCGACUGUAUCACACACACCUCUCACACACACACUCUGUCUCUCUCACACACACACACACUGUCUCUCACACACACUCACACACACACAGUCUCACUCACACACACACACUGUCUCACACACACUCUGUCUCUCACACACACUGUUUCUCACACACACACACUGUCUCACUCACACACACACACACUCUGUCUCACACACACACUCUGUCUCUCUCACACACACA
rnacentral:lncRNA from 1 species